CAGUAGCCGCGGGAAUACGGAGGGUGCAAGCGUUAAUCGGAAUUACUGGGCGUAAAGCGCACGCAGGCGGUUUGUUAAGUCAGAUGUGAAAUCCCCGAGCUUAACUUGGGAACUGCAUUUUAAACUGGCAAGCUAGAGUCUUGUAGAGGGGGGUAGAAUUCCAGGUGUAGCGGUGAAAUGCGUAGAGAUCUGGAGGAAUACCGGUGGCGAAGGCGGCCCCCUGGACAAAGACUGACGCUCAGGUGCGAAAGCGUGGGGAGCAAACAGGAUUAGAGACCCCUGUAGUCCCUGUCUCUUAUAC
rnacentral:rRNA from 1 species